GGGCGGCGCUGCUUAACAUGCAGUCGAACGGCAGCACGGGUGCUUGCACCUGGUGGCGAGUGGCGAACGGGUGAGUAAUACAUCGGAACAUGUCCUGUAGUGGGGGAUAGCCCGGCGAAAGCCGGAUUAAUACCGCAUACGAUCCACGGAUGAAAGCGGGGGACCUUCGGGCCUCGCGCUAUAGGGUUGGCCGAUGGCUGAUUAGCUAGUUGGUGGGGUAAAGGCCUACCAAGGCGACGAUCAGUAGCUGGUCUGAGAGGACGACCAGCCACACUGGGACUGAGACACGGCCCAGACUCCUACGGGAGGCAGCAGUGGGGAAUUUUGGACAAUGGGCGAAAGCCUGAUCCAGCAAUGCCGCGUGUGUGAAGAAGGCCUUCGGGUUGUAAAGCACUUUUGUCCGGAAAGAAAUCCUUGGCUCUAAUACAGUCGGGGGAUGACGGUACCGGAAGAAUAAGCACCGGCUAACUACGUGCCAGCAGCCGCGGUAAUACGUAGGGUGCAAGCGUUAAUCGGAAUUACUGGGCGUAAAGCGUGCGCAGGCGGUUUGCUAA
rnacentral:rRNA from 1 species